CCUUCCGGUUGCAGCCUGAGAAAUCAGGCUGAUGGCUGGUGACUUUUUGGUCACCAGCCU
rnacentral:sRNA from 4 species